rnacentral:misc_RNA from 1 species
GAAAUGCGAUAAGUAAUGUGAAUUGCAGAAUUCAGUGAAUCAUCGAAUCUUUGAACGCACCUUGCGCUCCUUGGUAUUCCUUGGAGCAUGCCUGUUUGAGUAUCAUGAAAUCUUCAAAGUAAAUCUUUUGUUAACUCAAUUGGUUUCUACUUUGGUAUUGGAGGUCUUUGCAGCUUCACACCUGCUCCUCUUUGUUCAUUAGCUGGAUCUCAGUGUUAUGCUUGGUUCCUCUCGGCGUGAUAAGUUAUCUAUCGCUGAGGACACUGUAAAAGGUGGCCAAGGUAAAUGCAGAUGAACCGCUUCUAAUAGUCCAUUGACUUGGACAAUACUUUUAUGAUCUGAUCUCAAAUCAGGUAGGACUACCCGCUGAACUUAAG